UAGCGCAAACAGCGCAGCAGCCAGUAAUUGACACCAAUGUAACCCUAGCAAAUGGAGACGCCUACAUUUAGUUAUGCACAGUUCCUGACUGUUGGAUCUUCAUCGUCUUUCUCGUCCGGUACCAAUUCUUUACAGUUCAGGCGUUUCGAGUUCGAUAAAAAGGCUCUCAAAUUCAAAUCCUCUUCAAGAUUCUCAGUUCGCGCCUCCUCUGCUGGAGCUGGAGAUUCUGGUGCACACCCUCCGUAAUAUAUUGGUGACUUUUCUUGAUUACGGGGCUGGUAAUGUUCGGAGUGUCAGAAAUGCUAUUCGUCGUCUUGGCUUUGACAUCAAAGAUGUGCAAACACCAGAUGACAUUUUAAAUGCAAAACGCCUAAUUUUCCCUGGGGUUGGGGCAUUUGCUGCAGCUAUGGAUGUGCUAAAUCAGAAUGGGUAAGCUUUGUAUAUAUGUUCCCAUUGCACCUUUGCCACCUAAGGUGUCAAGUCCACCUUAUUGCCCCAUGUCAGUGUGCUAGCGGCACAUUAAAUAGAUACAACAGGUAUUUAAUGCAAUUCGGCUAAUGGACAAGUUGCUCGAGAUUUUGGGACUCGAGGAAUGUCCUUGUGGUUGAGGUUUUCUAGAUUUGAGCUUUAUGUUUGAGGUUUUGAGACUCGAGAGUUGCCUCUUGAGGUUUAACUUUUGACCUGAGGCUUAUGCAGAGUUUUUCUUUGAGUAUCAAUGCUGACAUGGUCUCUGUUUUGACUUUUUUGCUGAUAUGGCUUUCGUUUGACUUUUUGUUGAUUUGGUUUUUGUUUGACUCCACAUAGUCGGCGCAUGAU